AGUGAACGCUGGCGGCGUGCUUAACACAUGCAAGUCGUACGAGAAAGCUUCUGCUUGCAGAGGCGAGUAAAGUGGCGCACGGGUGAGUAACACGUGGGUAAUCUACCUCCGAAUUGGGGAUAACAACGCGAAAGCGAUGCUAAUACCGGAUAAUAUCGUUGAUUCUCUGGAAUUGACGAUCAAAAGUGGCCUCUUCUUGAAAGCUACUGUUUGGAGAUGAGCCCGCGUCCCAUUAGCUUGUUGGUGGGGUAACGGCCUACCAAGGCAACGAUGGGUAGCUGGUCUGAGAGGAUGAUCAGCCACACUGGAACUGACACACGGUCCAGACUCCUACGGGAGGCAGCAGUGAGGAAUUUUGCGCAAUGGGGGAAACCCUGACGCAGCAACGCCGCGUGAGUGAUGAAGGCUUUCGGGUCGUAAAGCUCUGUCAAGUGGGAAGAAACUAUAAAGUG
rnacentral:rRNA from 1 species